CCUUUUUAAUACCAAUUUAAUGCAUUAAGAAUUUAAUGGAAUAUGCAUUUUUCAGUUUAAUCUAGGUGUUUGUUUGCUUGUUCCUGCUAAUAAUUAUAGAAUUUUAUAAUCUGGGUGGUGUUCUGUUCUAAUUAGAAACUUCACAUCAAUUAUUUAGGUAAGUAUACCAAGGUGGGACCUUUGGUAAUAUUUAUGUCUUUAUAAAUAAUAUCUGGAUACUGGCCAGCUUUAUUGAUGAAGAAGGUAGGAAAGAGAACCAUGGAACAUUAAUGUAAGCUACACUUUGCAUUUCCCUAAAAAUACAGUUUUAAAAGUACAGAGGGCUUGGGCUGCCUGGGCAGCUCAUUUAAGCGUCCGACUCUUGUCUCAGGAUCAUGAGUUCAAGCCCCUUAUUGGGCUCCACACUGGGCAUGGAGCCUACUUAAAAAAAAAAAAAAAAAAAAAGAAGUGUGGAAGAAAUAACCAAAUGGUAAAGGGACAUGGUGCCUUGCAAGCUUUAGCUUUUCCUUGUUCAAACUUUUUUAGUCACAUUUUCCUUUCCCAUCAGGGCAAGUGUUUUUUUGUUUAAAAAAAAAAAAAAUCAGUUUUAAAGAAAGGGAAGAAGGAGUAGAUAGAAAUAAAUUGAGUCUUAUGGGAAGUGGCAUGAUUAGGAUAAGAUCUAUUGCAUAUGGUUUUAUGAUUGAUUGGAGGCAGAAAUAAUAACUCCAAUAGGAGCUUUGCUUCCCUUCCUGAAGAUAGUGUUAACUAGGAUAGGUUCCCAGGGAUGAGAUUUUCUUCUAAGAAAGAAGAGGACUUCUGUGAUGCUAUGUGGAAUUCUAUCAAACCCAGUUUUUUUCCCCUCCCAUGGUGUACUUACUCAAAGCCCCUGUGUACCAUUUUCACUCACUCAAGCUGGACAUUUCCACUGCUUGGUACAGUAGGUCCUCCCUUAUCUGCAAUUUUGCUCUCCACAGUCAGCCAAGGUCUAGAAGCAGAUGACUCUCCUCACUGUUGUCAGAAGGUCAAUAGUAACCUGAUACUAUCACAAUGCCUACAUCAUUAAUAUCGCUUCAUCGCAUCAUGUGGGCAUUUUAUCAUCUCAUGAGGAUCCUAUAAGAGGAAAGAGGGUGGGCAGCCCCGGUGGCUCAGCAGUUUAGUGCCACCUUCAGCCCAGGGCAUGAUCCUGGAGACCUGGGAUCGAGUCCCAUGUCAGGCUCCCUGCAUGGAGUCUGCUUCUCCCUCUGCCUGUGUCUCUCAUGAAUAAAUAAAUAAAAUAUUAAAAAAAAAAAAAAAAAGGAAAGAGGGUAAUGACAGUACAAUAAAAUAAUUUGAGAGACCAUAUUCACAUAACCUUUAUUACAGUUUAUUAAUACUAAUAAUAAUUGUUCUUAAUCUCUUACUGUGUCUAAUUUAUAAAUUAAACUUUGUCAUAGGCAUGUGCAUAUAGGAAAAAACACAAUGUAUACAGGGCUCAAUACUUCCUGUGGUUUUAAGCAUCCACCAGGGAUCUUGGAAUAUAAUAUAAUUCCCCAUCUAUCAUGAUUCCCACCAACAUAAAUCAAUUCGCAGAAUUUUGAUUCUCAUUUAACAAUGCAAACAAUUUUGUUAUAUUAUUGGUAAAUUUGGUAUUAAAAUUUGUUGAGUAGAAAAUACAUUUCUUUAGAAUUUCCAACUGUAUUAAAAUGUUAUUGCAUCUCGUAUUUCAGGCAUAUCUAAAUCAAUUUCAAAUAAAUCUCCAGUAUCUAUCAUCUUAUACCUUUAUUAACAUGAAACCUUGGGCAGCCCGGGUAGCUAAGCGGUUUAGUGCCACCUUCAGCCCAGGGCGUGAUCCUGGAGAUCUAGGAUCGAGUCCCGAGUCUGGUUCCCUGCGUGGAGCCUGCUUCUCCCUUUGCCUGUGUCUCUGCUUCUCUCUCUCUCCCCCCCCCCCCUUCUCUGUCUCUCAUGAAUAAAUAAAAUCUUUAAAAAAAAUAACAUGAAACCUUAAAUUUUUCUUAGAAUCCUUGUUUAAAAGGUAUGGAGAAAAAAAUAUUUUACAGUGAAUGCGAAGAGUCUUAUGUGAAGGAAAAUUUUUCAUCAACUCUCAUUUCUCUCAUUUUUUAUUUUUUUCCAAAGAUUUUAUUUAUGAGAGAGAGAGCAUGCACGCAGAAGUGGGGGGAGAGGCAAAGGAAGAGGGAGAGAAAAACCGAUUCCUCACUGAGCCUGAGAUGAUGACCUGAGCUGAAAGGCUGAAAGCUAAACUGACUGAACCACCCAGGUGGCCCUCUCAGCUCUCAUUUUUUAAGAAGUCAUACUGAAGCAAAUGUAAAAUAUCUCUCUGGACACCGCAUUAAGAAAGAUGGGACAUUGUGACACUAGGAAGCCCACUUGGAGCUGUUUAGUUAAUGUGUCCCAACUACCAGAGAAUAGGACAUAACCGAGUGACAUUUUAUCUAGACUCUCCUUGGAAUCUGAUUGACAUUAUUUGAUUUGGCACACUAAGAUGUUGAGAACAAGAACUGCAGGCUGUUUGGUAGUGGAGAAAUUGACUGCUGUCUUUUAAAAAUAAGGUCCUGAAUAUUGUGUAAAGGUAGUAUUAAAUUGUUUUAACUCCAAAAAAUCGUUUUAAUUAAUGGAAAUUUGGUGACCAAUCACAGACAAUCCUUGAACUAAAAUCGUGAUACUCAGUUAUAACAACUUCCAACUUCUUUUUUUUUUUAUUUAUUUAUUCAUGAGAUGCACAGAGAGGGGCAGAGACAGAGGGACAAGCAGGCUCCCCAAGGGGAGCCUGAUGUGGGACUCAAUCCCAGGACCCCAGGAUCAUAGCCUGAGCCAAAGGCAGACAUUCAACCACUGAAUCACCCAGGCACCCCCAACUUCCAACUUCUUGAUUAAGGUGGUUUUUUUGUUUUCAUUUUUCUUAAAUAACUGUUUCAGGUAAAAAAUUCUUAAUUCCUUAAACCUUGAUUUUCUUAUGAAAUUUAAUGUGAUUAUUUUAAAAUUCCAGGCAGGCAUCCUAAGUAUGCAUCACAGUUAAUGUAAAAAUGUGUAUUGAGGAGUCAGUUUUGGCGGACAGUAGCUGAACGCUUCUGAUAAUAGGCAACAAAGGCUACUACUCCCCUUUAUUGCUGAUAGACAUAGGUGGGUAAUCAAAAUUAUUAAUGAUUGUAUUGUUGAACAUUAGCUGUAACAAGUGGCUUGACAUAACUUUAUUAUUUUCUGAAAAGUGGUAGUGUAUUUAGUUUGUAGUUAUACAGUAGACCUCAUUUCUAAAGAAACUAAAAAUUCUGACAUGAUUUAAGUAGAAUACUGAGUUCAUUCUCUUAACAUUCUCCUAUCUUAACAGAUAGGAAGAGGAUAUAUUUUAAAGAUGAAAAAAUGAUGCCGUUUGCAAAUGUA
rnacentral:lncRNA from 1 species